AAAAAAAAAAAAAAACCUCUAACAUUCAUCACCACCUGCGGCUCUCUUCCCCGUCACCUUCAUUCUCUGUGAGAGGUUUAACAGAUGAUCCGUGAUUAUUCGGCGGUAAACAAUUCGUCAUCCUAACAAUGAUGAACCAUUUGUGCGCUUUUAGAUAUGUGUUUGUGCAGGCAUGACAAAAAUCAAGAAGUGCAGUCAAAUUAAUCAGAAUUCUUCACAGAGAGGUUUUUUUUUGGGUUAGGUCAGAGAAGAAGAAAGCAAUUUAGGGUUUAUUAAGAGAGAGUGAGAAACAAGAUGUCUGAAGGGUUACUUCCUUUUUGAAUUCUUAGAUAUGGGUUUGUUUGAUUUUUAGCAUAGUCAUGGUUAUGAUUUUUUAUUUCAUAAGUUUCAUAAGAAUUGUAUUAUAACAGGCGUCAAAAGGAUGCCAGAAACGCUAGGUCCAAUUAUGUUCAGUUUUGGAUCUCUCUGAUUUUUGAAGUUCAACGUUGUUUUCUGUUUCGUAGGAUUGGUUGAUGGAAAUUGAGAAACCCUAAGAUUAUCUUGAAAUCAGGAUUUGAUCUCCCUUAUUGGGUUACUGGUUCAGGUCUGCUUCUGUAAUUUUAGGUGACAAAUCUUGUUAUGAGAUGACAUUUAGCAAUAAUCAUAGACUGCACCACAAAAGUUCGACAAGCCAAGAUUCAGUUGGAAUCCAAUAGCAGAGGGAUUUACCCACAUUCCAAAAAAUUGCAUUUUUACCUUCAAUCAAAAGGCCAAGAUGCCCGAUCACCCUUCCCGGCUGUCUGAUUAAAAACAAUAAAAAAGAUGGCCGUGAACCUGAGUAAAUGAGUUGAAGGAAACAGGUUCUCACAUUGAUGUUAUUCCUUACUAUGGAAAGUAUGAUGGAGUUGUUGGGGUGUUGUGCGAGCAAAUGAGGCGAUUAAUGUUUUGAGAAGGUCUGGCUUCAAAGCAUUAAAGUAAAAGGUCACUGGAGGAGCCCACACGUUUUGGGAUAAGCUGUUCGUGAAGGUACCGUGAGCACUCCAUAUCACACUCAGGCAUCACAUACAUGCCCAAGAAAAGUGGCUCUCCGCAAUACCCUUUAUCAGCGGGAGAUUUAGUGAUGUCUCUAUACAUAUCCCUAUUCUUGAUAAUAUCCAUACAUAUUCGGUUGGGGAAGAGCUUUCCAAAGGAUUGUAGCUUGCAGUGGCUCUCCAAAAUACCCUAUAUCAAUUCCCAGACGGCAUCUCUAUGAGACACUUUCAACAUUUCCAAACGUGGUGGGAGGUUGAGAGUGAAUCCUAAACCCUCAGGUUAUCAAAUGCAACGAUGCUGGUGUGAGAAAUAUGGAAGCCAGAGAAAAAUGUAGCCUCAAACAGGUGGUUAAUGUUUGUAACUAGAGAGAGUUGCUUAUUUUUUUGGGAUGAAAUGCCUGACAAUCCACAUUUAUGGUCUACUGUUUAUGUUCAGGUACCUAAUAUCUUACUGCUUGGUUAUUGUAGUCAUCCUUGAUCUUUGGAUCGGUCCACUCAUCGGUGGACUCUAGGCCAACGGCCAUUUGUUAAUUCUCUCGAUCUCGAGUCUUGAAAUAAGUUAGUUUUUGUGAGCAGUUUACAGAAUUUGAAGAAAGCGUCUUUGCAGUGGCUUAAGCUCUGCCCAUUUGCUGUAAUAGUACGAAUCAAAUCCUACAACUAUCUAAUUUAGGAUAGUUAGAAAAACCUUUCCAUCUAAAUCCCCGAGUCAUGUUAAUACGAAUUCCCACUUUCAUAGUACUGAUAACAGAAUAUGGAUCAAGACAUCUCAAGACAGUAACGGAUAUGCGAAGGAUUUCUACUUUAAGAAUCUCAAUUUUAAUAUUGCUUCCAACCCAUAAUAAUUGAUCAAUAUUACUGCGCAGUAGCAGAUUGCAUACAAAGGGUCUUUGCUAAGUCAAGUUAUAGAAACAAUUUCUCCCCCCUCACUCUGGGCGAGGCGAAGCCGAGCCACACCAAAUCCAAAAUGCAUCGCGACAGGAUGUGGCAAACCUGUUUGGAACCUAAUCGAAAAUGCAUCGGUACAUGACGGGGCGAGGCGAAGACGAGCACCCCAAAUCAAAAAUGCAACGGCGCGAGGCAAAGCCCCGCGACACCUAAUAAAAAAUGAAAAAUAUGGAGAGAAAAAGAGAUGCACGGGCACAAAAUCUAGUUGUACUUAAAAAGUCCUCCUGAUUAAAUCAUCCAAUAAUCGUUUUCAGUUGUAGAUGAGCUGAAAUAAAUCAUGUUCUUCCUGUGGUAGAUAAAUCGUCUAGCGGUUAAUGUCGGUGUGGGACUUGCCCAUAAGUACACACUCUAUGCGAUAAGAAAAUGUGGGUUUAAUGAUAUCGGUGUCCGUCUUUUUUCCUCGUUUCUUCAUCUCAGUCCAAUCUUCUGCUUUUAGUCCCUUUUACACUAUGAAAACUAAUCAUUCUUUUUUCCCCCCGUAGCAGUUGGGUUCGUUCAAAAGUGAUGUGACCAUAUUGUAUGGGUGUCCGACUACAUUUCCUUGUUAAGAGGUUCAACAAAUUAAUUUGGAUUCGACAUCUUUAUUCAUAGAUAUGGAUAGAAACCCCGAACCUAAAUCCGGUUGUGGCUCUAAAUUUGCCCAAGAAAAGCUGCAAUUGUCUUCAUUCAUAAAUGAAGGAAGGUAUUAGAAAACGACAUGAUUCGGGAGCAACUUAGUGUAU